rnacentral:lncRNA from 10 species
CUGGUGUUCUGACUCUUGUUCCACUCACUGCAUGAAAUGAAGCUGGCGGAAUAUUGCUACAAAAGAAUGAUCGUGGCAGGAGGCGGGGUAGAGCAAUGUCAGGUCACGGUGCGUCUUGCACCGAAAUAUUAAGGCAGUUGUAAUGAUCUUUGUCUCACAGAAAUGAACAGAGUGAUGAAGGAGGCUCAGAGAAAGGCAGCUGAGAAGAGCAACAAGGUAGAAAGGCUGACUUAAAGUAGAGAAAUAAAAAUUCAUCCAGCACCUCCCAAGGUCGGACAUUGGUCAAGAAACGCCCAAAUAGUUCAGGUCGUUUAACUUUGCUCAAAUUCCUCAAGGCAGGUAUCACGACUCCUCCUGCUUUAGAGGUGAGAAUGCCAAGGCUCCCGAGGGCUGAGUAAGGAGCCCUGGUUUGUUUGAGUGCAGGUAACACAACAGGUGUUAAAGCCCAAUCUUCAGGGUCUUAAUCCAACAGAAGUUAACUUUCGCUUAGAAAAAGUUCAGCACCAGAGUUCCUGGUGGAUAAGCGACUUCCCACAAGGUCAUUCCUGGGCCUUCUCUGUGUCUCCCCACCCUGUCCCCCUCUGAGGGUUUCAAGUCCUCGGAAGGUUCUAGAUCCACCCUGCAUGGAGCGCAGGGCCCCACUGCUUGUUUCCAUUGCUGAGCCCAACAGGAAAGGCUGGGAUCGGAGGUCGCCUUGCACCCAGGAUGGAAGGGAAGUGCGUUUGGUGAACACAUAGUGCCCAGGCCACCUACCCAAAGCCGCACAGCUCCAGCAGCAGCCUACAGUCCGACCCGGGCCAAGAAGCGAAGUCCAACCUCAUGCUUUCUCUGACUUGAGUUUUCUGAACCUCAGAGUCCUCUCCUAUAGAAUGGAGAACACGUCUCCUUCACAGGAUUACUAGGAGAAUGAGCAGAGAAAAUGCCUGUGGAGGAGACUUCUGGACACUUAGUUAUGGACAGGGCACCAGGAGAAAGGGUGGUGCUGGAGUCUCUCCUUAGCUCUCAGAGAUCAUCACAAAGAGGGUGCCUCCUGCUUCCGGCCCAUGGCAGAGUGUGUCCGAGAGGCCGCCUCUCACCUCCCUCCCUGGCCUCGCACACGCAGUCGGGACUGGAUUUCUGAUGGCAAUUCAGUGACGCACAAUCGAAAACCAGCAGGGCGGAACAGGAGAUGGGAGCAAACUAAGCUACCGUUUCACUAACUUCACAGAGGAGCCUGACACAGAAAAAUGUAUACAUUGUUUGCCUUAAAGUGAACAAUAGGGAAUAGCUAUCGUAUCUUCAAAGCAGCUUUCCAAGAUCAAAUCCGUCGCAUCCGGAAUGCGUUUCUUUGACCUUGGAACCUCCAGGAGUGGCCAGGCUCCCCCACAGAUCACACGCAGCGUUGCCUAGAAGCCGGUAGCUCUCCCGUAGGACGCUGGGAAGCAGCCAGCUGUUCAUGUGGGAGUGUCGGCGUGCGUUCCUUUGUCAACGUCCUGCAAGAAAGAAAAGGCAAGAACGUCAGCGAUGGCUCCACUGACUGAUUAAGGCAAAGGAAGUCGCCACUAUGCCCUGGAUCUGUUCCUGAAGGAUUACAGCAUGAAGAAAAAUAAUCAAUUAAGUGAUUCACGGAGGUGCAGUGAGGCGAAGGUUCCAUGUAGCCACAGGUUGGAAGAAACAAGUACUGUUGGCAUCAACUUUGUCAGCUUGAAGCAGGCCUUCUAGAACCCAUAAUGCCAGGACAAGCUUUCUAGAUGGCAGAAGAGCCUAGCCUAUUUGGUGUGAAUGAAAGACACUCAGGUGAUACCUUCUAUCUCUUCAAGCCCCAGAAUAACAUACGUGUGACAGACCAGGAUUCAGCCCACAGCCUGGAGCCAAGACACCAUCCGACCCAGAUGAACCUGCGUGGAUCACCUGAGCCACUAGUGACCCAGAGAUCCUGAGAGUGAAAAACAUGCAUGGUCCUAUACACCACUGAGUUUUGGGAUGACUUGUUACUUAGCACUAUUAUGACAAUUGCUGACUAAUAUACCAGGCUCCUGGAAGAUUUGUUGUGAGGUUCUCAUAAAAUGAUGAAUGUGAAAUUGCAUUGUAAGCUGCUUUUAAAAAAGGUACUUAGCUGGAGUGAAAGCUCUACAAAGGCAGAAAUUGUUUUGCUACUGUAACUAGAUGAGUUCCUGGAAUAAAAUAGUAGCUCAAUAAAUACCAUAUUAAUUGAAUUGGAUGGAUGGAUGGAUAUAUAUAUAUAUAUAUAUAUAUAUUUUAACCUUGGAACUUCUAUCAUAGGCAUUUUUCCUUGGGUUGAAACUACUAAUUUCUCUUAAGUACAGAUACCCCCCGAGAAAGCUAAAAUGCUGUAUUGUUUAUCACAAUACUUUUGGUUCAUGAUAAUUACUGCCAGAUACCUGGAGUAAUUAUAGAAAUUGUAGAGAACAAGAGGUGAGGGGUGGGAGAGCUAAGAAAUGGAUUUUCCAGUUUUGCCCAUGGCUACUUUGUGCAGCACCUCUGACAAAAGCUUUGGGAGUUUUCCAGAAACUAGCAUUCUGCGCCCUCCCCAAGCACUUAUUUCUUCCUUCCCCAGGGUGCCGUGUUUGCAUUUCUGCAGCACAACAUGGAGGGUAAAGGGAUUGCAGAGUGAGUCUCCACUUCCACUCGUCUCUGUUGUUGGAGAGGAUUAAAAGAGCAGGAGAGGGGCUGCCUGUGUCCUGGGAAAUUUUCAGGACAGAAGAAGAGGCUGGCCCUGUGCAGUAGGUGCAGAGCAGGCACCCGGCCUCCAGGGCCACCGAUGACUCCAGGGCCUGGCAGGAGCCAGGAUGUGGCUCCUCGUGGAGGGCUAUGCCAGCCGUGUGUCCGACCCAGAGCACAGAACCAUUGCCCCAGCAGGGCUUUUCAGUGGAACCGAGUGUCCCCACACGAGCUUUGUCUCCGGAUGCACACGAGGAGAUUCUGCAGCACAGUGGAUCCGAUUAAGCCAUUACAGCUUUCCAGAGGGAAAAGAAAAUUUAGGACGUGUAGAAACUAAGUCUUUGCCCACAAUCAAGUUUCCAUUCAAAUUAUGAAAAGGAAGUGAUUGAAUGAGAAUGAGAUGACCUUCCCCUUCCCCCACGGAUCUUCCUCCCUCUGGUUCCCUCUGCUGCUGACACGAGCACUGCACCCAGGCGACGGCCCCGGGCGCCCAGGCUGACUCCCGCACUCGGGCGCUGAGCUCAUGGCCGGUUCUGAAGAACUCUGGUUCUGCUCAUGCCCCACAUCAAAACGGCCAAGUCUUCAGAUUUGGGAUUUCCCAAGCCAAAAGCAUUUUCAUAGAAUUGCAUUUCAAUAUUUACAUUAUCUUUAAAGAAAGUCCAGCUAAAAAUAAAAAAUAAGUAAAAAUGUUAAAAAUAAAACAACCCCAGAGAGAAGUGGGGUCUACCUGAAUGCAAUGCAAGAUGAAGUGGACAUCUGGACGCCCCUCCUCCAGGGCUUCGCAUGCUCCCCGGGGCUCAGGGGCUCGGGUGGGGCAGCUCCUCAUGGCGUGGGGUAGGGAGGGUGACCCCAGGUUCUUAGUCAGGGCAGGUGCAGGCCUGUGAGACACCAGGCGAAGGAGGCAGAGCAGGCCGUCCUGUGUGGAGUGGCUUAUUCUAAUUCAAACUCCCCUGUUUUCUUCCUCUUCCUUUUGGGGGAACUCAUCCCUCUGAGACCUCAGACAGACAUGCACCAGGCUAUGGGUGGGGGUAAUGCAGGGCAGGCAGGGUGGUGCAGGAGAAGCAUUCUGCUCUUUUCUGCAGUAAGGUAAAUAUCGUGGCCGUCAUCUGUUCCACCUCCUUCCUGCUGUCUGGCUUCGUUAGUGCAGAUCAAGAGCAUAGGUCAGUGCCCUGGAGGGUGUUCAGGAUGACCGUAGCAGAGGUCUCCGUGCCACAAAUGGAACCCAGCCUUGCUAACUUCUCCAGGCUCGGUGCCCAGCACCCCCAGGGCACACAGAAACCACUGUGGUGUGAGUGGUGCUGGAGCAGCAGACACAGGCGCGUUGUUGUCGGGAGGUGGGGGAGCCCCCGCCGGCUUGCGUGUUUUCUUCCUUAGCAACUGCCCCUCAGAAGCAAUACAGGACUUACCCUAAUGUCACCUCUGCUGAGUCCACGCCGGGGAAUGGCUGAGAAACAACUUCAUGCCAGAAUCCUGUCAAUCUAAGUCUCUACAAAAUUCUAGGAACCAAGAAAUUAUAAACUGAAAGCUCUUAAUGAGAAGCUCUCUGUGGGCAAUGAUCUGGGCUCUGCAGGGGGCUCCAGCAGCUGCCAGAGGGAAAUAAACGUGGAAAAGAACAACCUGAGGCUGCUCGGCUGAAGGCCGGAGCAUGGGGACUGCCCUAACCCUCACUCACGGUGCAGGGAGCUUCCCAGGAAGUCUCAGCUCACCUGCAGCCUUCGAACCAGGAGAGGCUCCGUGAAAGAGCAGGAUGCUCGAGGUCUGGCCUCAACCCUGUCAUCAUUGUCAAUCCCUGCGGCUCCUCCUUCCAGGGAGGCUGGGCAGAAGAGCAACAGGAGCAGGUGCUCAGGGGCAACACAGAAGACAGGAGCAGGUGCUCAGGGACAACAAGUACUCAGGGGACAGAAGGUGCCAGGAGGUAGUAGGUGUUCAGGGGGCAGCAGGUGCUCAGGGAGCAGCAGGUGCUCAAAGGCAGUACAGCAGACAGGAGCAGGUCAUUUCUAAAUAAGUUUAAAAACUGAAACAUGAAUUACUAAGCAUGAGUUUAAAGUUUAUAUCCUUUGACAUCGUGUUUUUACAUAGUAUAGAGAAGCUAAAUGUAUUUGGUUCUAUUAAUAAACAUGAAAAUUGUCCGGGUGCAGUGGCUCACACCUGUAAUCCCAGCACUUUGAGAGGUUGAGGAGGGCAGAUAGCUUGAGCCCAGGAGUUUGAGACCAUCCCAGGCAAUGUAGUGAAACUUUGUCUCUACAAAAAAAUACAAAAAUUAGCCAGGCGUGGUGGCUCCAGUUUUGACUGCAAGGAUGGACCCCUGAAAACGCCCAAGGCUUCAGAGGAUGACCGCUAGAGCCAGCAGUUUCUCUUUCCAUAAUCAAUCAUGUUAUUUGAUAGUUAUGAGAGUUGAUUCAAGAUUGAGAGAUGGAAUAGGCUGUUAUUACUCAGGCUCAUUUCCUAAAGUAAAUCAUAAUUUAUAGAUGUGGGACACAUAGGCUUUGAGAUUCCGAUACAAUUAGUGCAAACAUUUAGAAGAUAAAUUGGCCUCCAUUCCAAGGUAACCAAAUGGAUCCCUUUUUUAAGAAUUGAGAAUACUAUAAAACAAAGAUGCAAAAAUACCCAAAAUUGAUCAAUAAGGAUCACGCAGAGAUUUAUUUUUUGAAGACAAUACUAACAUUUCAAAUGUAGGAAAUACUAUUUUAUGCUUUAAACAGGGACAUUUAGUCUCGAGUUCUAGUUUUAAUGCCCUAACCUGGUUUAUCCAUAAAGUGGAGAGAGGCUAGUGCAUAAAUUCAUGUGGUACAGCCAAUCUUAUUCAUUUUUUCUCAAGGGACAGUUAUAACCAGAAUGAACAAAGCCUGGAAUUCAUUAACAGAGCUUACAGGGAAGGUGAGUGGUUUCGAAGCAUUUUUACUAAUCCUUUGAUAAGUCACCCUGAUGUGAGAGGUGGAUUUAGCGACUUGCUUAUGCCAAGUAGCAUAUGGCAAAAGUAAUGAUAUUUCACUACUGCACGUAUCUGCAAAGGGAGCACUCACUCUGGGGCAAGCCAGGCCUGUGUCAUGAAGACACUCGAGCAGCCCUGUGGAGAGGCCCAGGCGUAAGAAACAGACGCCUCUUACCAACAGUCAGUGAGGAACUGAGGUCUCCUGCCAUGAGCCAUGUGAGUGCGCGAUCUUGGAGGUGGGUUCUCUAGCCCCUGUCAGGCAGUCAGAUGAUGCAGCCCCAGUCACAUGCAAUCAAGUCUAGGUUCUUGAUAUUCUAGUUACUUAAAGAUUGUCAAGCAAGAAGUCAUUUCUUCCCCGGCUAUGCUAUUCAAAGGUUCAUGAAUCUUUUGGAUUUUGUAUAUUUUAGAAAUUCCAGAAUUUAUCAGUAGGAACCAGAAAUAGAAUAUCCAGCAGGAACGGCAUGAUGUAUAAAAAAAUAUAGUCCUUUUUGUACAUUCCCCUCUUCCAUUAUUCUAACUGUAUCUACCUUCAAAUCACACCUAAGAUUUCAGGGAUAGACCCUUUACCUCGAAGAUAAUGAAACCCAUCAGAUUAUAAUUUUUUUUUUGUUAUGGACAAUUCCCUUCCCUAAUAUUUCUCAAACUGAAGGUUGUAAUCUACUUCAAAGAGUCGUCCAAGGAAGGCAUGGUGAUCGACGAGUUUCAAAUAACUAUCAAAUACAUUUAUUUAUCCUAAAAACGUUGACAGUAAUGAUAGAAAUACUCAUUUUUAAAAUUCUUGAAUUCUGAUACAUAGUUCUAUUUUAAAGUCCUGAAAUACCAGUAUUUUUUUAUUGGUAUACUACAAUUAUACCACUAUUUUUGGAAACUAAGGUCUGAAUUAUUAACUUCUUUUUUUUGAGAUGAGGUGUCAUCUGUUGUUGUUCAGGCUGGAGUGCAGUGGUGCAAUCACGGCUCCCUGCAGCCUCAGAUCCCUGGGCUCAAAGAAAUCCUGUGAGCAUGGCACUGUACCCAGCUGAUUUUUUAAUGGUUUGUAGAGACAGGGCUUUGCUUUGUUGCCCAGGCUGGUCUCAAGCUCCUAACAUCAAGCAAUCCUCCUACCUUGGCCUCCCAAACUGCUAGGAUUACAGGUGUGAGUCACCAUGCCCAGCCUUUAUUUAUCUCUUAAAAUGAAAGUCAUUGACUAAACUAUUCAAUUUUGUGCCAAAAAAAAGAUGAACUAAUGUGCAGUCUUCAAAACUGAUAGGAUUAUUCUGGAAAAUUUUGUACAUACACACACAAAAAAAGAAGCAUUGAUGACUUUUGUUAAAAACACCAAAUAAUAUGUCAUUUUAAAUGUUUAUGAACGAUUAAUUUCUUAUUUCAAUAUAAUGCUUAGUUGAUUAUUUGUAAUAAAAGUUUAUUUUUGUUUAUGUGCUAAUCCAUUAGGAUGUGAUAUAGUUUGGAUAUUUGUCCCUACCCACAUCUCAUGCUGAGUUGUAAUCCCCAAUGCCAGAGGUGGGGCCUGGUGGGAGAUGUUUGGGUUCUGGGGGUGGGUCCCUCAUGGCUUGAUGCUGUCUUCUUGAGAGUGAGUUCUCAUGAGAUCUGGUUAUUUAAAAGUGGGUGGCACCUCCCUGCCCACUGUCUCUCACUUGUUCCUGCUCCUGCUCCUGCCAUGUGAUGUGCCUGCUCCCCCUUUGCCUUCCGCCAUGAUUGAAGCUUCCUGAGGCCUCCCAGAAGUAGAAGCCGCCAUGCUUCCUGUAUAGCCUGUAGAACCACAAGCCAAUUAAACUUUUUUUAAAUGAAUUACCCAGUCUCAGCUAUUUCUUUAUAGUAAUGCAAGAAUGGCAUAAUACAGGAUGAUAAUAUGUUGAAGGUUUAUAGAUUCAAAAAAUGUAUUUUAGUUAAUUUGAAAAAUAAUGUAAGAAACACAUGAUAAAUAUUCAAUUACGUUUGUGAAAUACACUAAAUCCCUACCUGCUUAUUUCCUAGCUGGGCUGCUAUAACACAGUGCCACUCACUGGGUGGCUUUUACUGCUCACAGUUCUGGAGACGUGGACAUUUACAAUGAAGACUGAUUAGGGCCAGUUUCCUGAUUCACAGAUGGGGCCUCUCGCUGUGUCCUCACAUGGCAGAGGGACAAACAGGCUCCCUCUCUCUCUUUUAUAUGGGCACUGAUCCCAUACAUGAGAGGUCCACUCUCAGGACCAAAUCACCCCCUUGAGACCCCACCUCUCAACACUAUCACCAUAAGGAUUAGCCUUCAGCAUCUGAAUGUGUGGGGAGGAAGCACAAACAUUUAGAUCACAGCGCCCUGUCCCUGGUUUCCCAAAGUUCACAUCUUCCUCACGUGACAAGUACAUUCAUUCCAUCCCAACAGCCCUACAAGUCUUAACUCGUUCCAGCAUCAACUCAAAAGUGUGAAGUCCAGAGUCUCAUUUAAACAUCGUCUAAAUCAAAUACGUGUGUGAUUUAAGGUAAAAUUCAUUGUGAGACAAACUGCUUUCCAGCUGUGAGCCUGUAAAAUCAAACAUGUUAUGUGUUUCCAAAUUCAAUGGUAGGUGUUAUGGUUUGGACUUGUGUCCCCACCCAAAUCUCAUUCAAUUAUAAUCCCCGGUGUUGGAGGUGAGGCCUGGUGGGAAGUGAUUGGAUCAUGGGCCGGAGUUCUUAAGAAUGGUUUGGUACCAUCUCCCUUGGUACUGCAUAGUGCGUGAGUUCUCAUAAAAUCCAGUUGUUUAAAAGUGUAUAGCACUUGUCCUUCUCUCUCCCUCCUGCUCCAGCCAUGUAAGAUGCCUGCUUCCCCUUUGCUUUUCACCAUGAUUGUAAGUUUCCUGAGGCCUCCCCAGAAGCUGAGCAGAUGCCAGCAUCAUGCUUCCUAUACAACCAAUGGAACUAUGAG